UACGUAGGGGGCUAGCGUUGUCCGGAAUCACUGGGCGUAAAGGGUUCGCAGGCGGAAAUGCAAGUCAGAUGUAAAAGGCAGUAGCUUAACUACUGUAAGCAUUUGAAACUGCAUAUCUUGAGAAGAGUAGAGGUAAGUGGAAUUUUUAGUGUAGCGGUGAAAUGCGUAGAUAUUAAAAAGAAUACCGGUGGCGAAGGCGACUUACUGGGCUCAUUCUGACGCUGAGGAACGAAAGCGUGGUAGCAAACAGGAUUAGAUACCUGGUAGUCAAGGC
rnacentral:rRNA from 1 species